UCUAGUUUGUGUUCAGCAUC
rnacentral:miRNA from 2 species